AGAUGGGCUUGAUCAAACUACAGGGCUCUUCAUGUGAUCUGUGUGUGAGAGAGAGAGAGGGAGAAAGAGCGUACCUUCAGAGAGAGGCCACGUCUCUUCUUUGCAAGGAGGAUGAAUAAGCUGCAACCUCCCCCCCUGCGGCUUCCCUCCCUGCUCUCUCUCCACCCCCAACCCCAGUUAUGGGUAUUGCAUUGCAUUGCACAACCCCGCCGCCCAAAGCUUGCUGCACCCUGAGGCGCUUUGCACUCACCGGAUUCCUUGCAGGACAAGGACAGUGCAGGACGGCAGAGGGGGCGGGUCAGCUGUUCUGCUUAAGCCGCGCCCCCUUUCCCAAGUCAGUAUCGAGCAGCAGCACCCUCCACUCUAGCAGCUUGCACUCUCUGGCUUUAACCCUUAAAGCACGGAGCAUCUGUUCCCUGUACUCGAAGCCAAGGUUCCCUCCCUUCUCUCCCCAUUGGCUGGGUACUGCAAGGCUUUCCCCUUACAAUUAUCCCCCGGAGAUAUCCUGCCUCCCAGGCGGGGGUUCCCAUUCCCGCCCGCGCUGCCCAGGGGCGCUGCUGCUGCCAGGAUUUCGGGUCAGGAAGACGAUGGUCAAGAUUCUACAGAGCCAUCUGUGAAUUCAUUGGGAAAAACAAAAAAACAGUUUAAAUGCAGGGAAUGUGGAAUGUGCUUUCGUCACUGUAGAAAAA